UACGGAGGGAGCUAGCGUUAUUCGGAAUUACUGGGCGUAAAGCGCACGUAGGCGGCUUUGUAAGUUAGAGGUGAAAGCCCAGGGCUUAACCCUGGAAUUGCCUUUAAGACUGCAUCGCUAGAAUUGUGGAGAGGUAAGUGGAAUUCCGAGUGUAGAGGUGAAAUUCGUAGAUAUUCGGAAGAACACCAGUGGCGAAGGCGACUUACUGGACACAUAUUGACGCUGAGGUGCGAAAGCGUGGAGGCAA
rnacentral:rRNA from 1 species